AUUGAACGCUGGCGGCAGGCUUAACACAUGCAAGUCGAGCGGAGUGAUGGUGCUUGCACUAUCACUUAGCGGCGGACGGGUGAGUAAUGCUUAGGAAUCUGCCUAUUAGUGGGGGACAACAUCUCGAAAGGGAUGCUAAUACCGCAUACGUCCUACGGGAGAAAGCAGGGGCUCACUUGUGACCUUGCGCUAAUAGAUGAGCCUAAGUCGGAUUAGCUAGUUGGUGGGGUAAAGGCCUACCAAGGCGACGAUCUGUAGCGGGUCUGAGAGGAUGAUCCGCCACACUGGGACUGAGACACGGCCCAGACUCCUACGGGAGGCAGCAGUGGGGAAUAUUGGACAAUGGGGGGAACCCUGAUCCAGCCAUGCCGCGUGUGUGAAGAAGGCCUUAUGGUUGUAAAGCACUUUAAGCGAGGAGGAGGCUUACCUAGUUAAUACCUGGGAUAAGUGGACGUUACUCGCAGAAUAAGCACCGGCUAACUCUGUGCCAGCCGCCGCCGUAAAAC
rnacentral:rRNA from 1 species